UACAUCGGUGACAGGUGGUGCAUGGUUGUCGUCAGCUCGUGUCGUGAGAUGUGGGUUAAGUCCCGCAACGAGCGCAACCCCUAUUGUUAGUUGCCAUCAUUCAGUUGGGCACUCUAGCGAGACUGCCGGUAAUAAACCGGAGGAAGGUGGGAUGACGUCAAAUCAUCAUGCCCCUUAUGACCUGGGCUACACACGUGCUACAAUGGUUGGUACAACGAGUUGCGAGUCGGUGACGGCGAGCUAAUCUCUUAAAGCCAAUCUCAGUUCGGAUUGUAGGCUGCAACUCGCCUACAUGAAGUCGGAAUCGCUAGUAAUCGCGGAUCAGCACGCCGCGGUGAAUACGUUCCCGGGCCUU
rnacentral:rRNA from 1 species